rnacentral:lncRNA from 1 species
UCAAUUCAUACUUACUACCCGUUUUCUAACACAACAUAAUAUUUACUUGUCAACAUUUUUUUUCUAUAAAGGAAAAGUAGACUUGGUAAUACCUGAGAAUAACAGAAGCGCCUUGGGGAAAAUGAUACAGUAGUAGGGUAGGCCGGUGAUAUCUAUGGCAUUGCAGUGCCGAGUGUUUGUCCAUUUUGAGGUUGAUCAAACAAUCAUUUCUUUCAAAUAUGUUGACAUUGCACUCCUCUUCUUCAGUCCCACGAGAAACUAAAGAAAAGAAAACAAGACCAAAAAAAAUAAUAAAAACGUAAGAAUCGUUUUAUUAUCAUCAUCGUGGCAUCAAAGAGACAUUUUGUCAAAAAGAACAUCAUAUUAUUAGUAUUAUUAUAUUUACUUUUGCCACGUUUUCUUUAUCAUGACAAUAAAUAAAUAAAAAACAGUAUUGGGAUUGCCACGUAACGGAAAAGGACAAGUGUGGCACUAUCUAGUAUCUCAAUUGGUGAAAACAAAGCUCUCUGUAUUUCUCUCCAAUACAGAGCAGGUGGUUGUUAAGUCUCUGUAUUUUGUUUAUAAAUAGCAUUCCUCUUCAGAUAACAAAGAUUCCCUCUACCACUCACUUCUCUCCCUCCCUCAUCCUUUCUCACCAUCACCAUUUCUCUCUCUCCUCCUCUCCUCUCCCUCUAUUCCUACCUAAAAACUCCCGACUGCUCUUCUUCAUCUCUGUCAACCCACCAAGGCACCAACACAGGAAAAGCUGCCUACAAAACUUACAACCAAACAAAAACCCAAUUUUCAAACUCCAAAACUAUAAUCAAGCAAGCGCCCAUAGACGCUUAAUGGCUCUCAUUCCAACCUUAAUUCUGAGUCUCCAUAUGCUCCUCAUUUCAAAAGGUAGUACAAUAUCAGUACCUGUCAGUCUGUCACGUGUCAAUUCAAAUAUAUGAACACAUUUUUAUGAUUUACUGUAAUAUGCAGGUGUUUCAGGUACCACAUUUACAUUUGUAAACAAGUGCGACUACACAGUCUGGCCAGGAAUUCUAGGCAGUCCAAGUUUAGGUAGCACAGGUUUUGAGCUAGCCAAGGGAAGCUCUAGAUCCUUCCAAGCUCCAACAGGCUGGUCUGGCCGGUUCUGG